rnacentral:rRNA from 1 species
GACGAACGCUGGCGGCGUGCCUAAUACAUGCAAGUCGAACGCAGUGGGGACGGGUGAGUAACCCGUGGGUAACCUCCCAUCAGAGGGGAUAACACUUGGAAACAGGUGCUAAACCGAUACUGAUGGAUGGACCCGCGGUGCAUUAGCUAGUUGGUGAGGUAACGGCUCACCAAGGCGACGAUGCAUAGCCGGGCUGAGAGGGUGAUCAGCCACACUGGGACUGAGACACGGCCCAGACUCCUACGGGAGGCAGCAGUGGGGAAGAUUGGACAAUGGGCGAAAGCCUGAUCCAGCCAUGCCGCGUGUAUGAAGAAGGCCUUAGGGUUGUAAAGUACUUUCAGUGGGGAGGCGUUACCCGCAGAAGAAGCACCGGCUAACUCCGUGCCAGCAGCCGCGGUAAUUC